rnacentral:rRNA from 1 species
UACGAGGGGUGCAAGCGUUGCUCGGGAUUAUUGGGCGUAAAGGGCAGGUAGGUGGUCUCAUUUGUCAGGGGUGAAAGCCUUGGGCUUAACCCAAGAAGUGCCUUUGAAACGGUGAGACUGGAGUCUUGGAGAGGGUCGUGGAAUUCCCAGUGUAGCGGUGAAAUGCGUAGAGAUUGGGAGGAACACCAGCGGCGAAGGCGGCGACCUGGACAAGUACUGACACUCAACUGCGAAAGCGUGGGUAGCAAACAGG